rnacentral:rRNA from 1 species
CGGUGUGAACUUGUGGUUUUAUUCGAAGCACGCGAAGAACCUUACCAAAUCUUGACAUCCUUUGUAUAUAAAGAGAAGAGUCUUCCCCUUCGGGGGACAAAGUGAUAUGUGGUGGAUGGUUGUCGUUUCUCGUGUCGUGAGAUGUUGGGUUAAGUCCCGCAACGAGCGCAACCCUUAAUCUAAUUGAAAAAAUAAGUUGGGCACUCUUGGUUGACUGCCGGUGACAAACCGGAGGAAGGGGGGGAUGACGUCAAAUCAUCAUGCCCCUUAUGAUUUGGGCUACACACGUGCUACAAUGGAUAAUAAAAGGGCAGCGAAUCCGCGAGGCAAGCAAUCUUUUUUAAUUAUUCUCAGUUCGGAAUGGAAUCGGAACUCACUACAUGAAGGGGGGAUUCCCCGCUUCCAAAAAACCAGGGCCGGUAUUUUUCCGGGCUUUACCCCCCCCGUUAAUAACCAUUUUUUUUUUUUUUUUAUCGGGGCCCCCCCCC